rnacentral:rRNA from 1 species
AACGUAGGUGACAAGCGUUAUCCGGAUUUACUGGGCGUAAAGCGCGUGCAGGCGGCUUGGCAAGUCGGGCAUGAAAUCUUUCGGCUUAACCGGGAGAGGCUGUCCGAUACUGCUGGGCUUGAGGGCAGUAGAGGGUGGUGGAAUUCCGCAUGUAGUGGUGAAAUGCGUAGAUAUGCGGAGGAACACCAGUGGCGAAGGCGGCCACCUGGACUGCUCCUGACGCUGAAGCGCGAAAGCUAGGGUAGCGAACGGGAUUAGAAACCCCCGUAGUCC